GACGAACGCUGGCGGCGUGCUUAACACAUGCAAGUCGAACGGAAAGGCCCUGCUUUUGUGGGGUGCUCGAGUGGCGAACGGGUGAGUAACACGUGAGUAACCUGCCCUUGACUUUGGGAUAACUUCAGGAAACUGGGGCUAAUACCGGAUAGGAGCUCCUGCUGCAUGGUGGGGGUUGGAAAGUUUCGGCGGUUGGGGAUGGACUCGCGGCUUAUCAGCUUGUUGGUGGGGUAGUGGCUUACCAAGGCUUUGACGGGUAGCCGGCCUGAGAGGGUGACCGGCCACAUUGGGACUGAGAUACGGCCCAGACCCCUACGGGAGGCAGCAGUGGGGAAUAUUGCACAAUGGGCGGAAGCCUGAUGCAGCAACGCCGCGUGCGGGAUGACGGCCUUCGGGUUGUAAACCGCUUUCGCCUGUGACGAAGCGUGAGUGACGGUAAUGGGUAAAGAAGCACCGGCUAACUACGUGC
rnacentral:rRNA from 1 species